rnacentral:rRNA from 1 species
AGCAGCCGCGGUAAUUCCAGCUCCAAUAGCGUAUAUUAAAGUUGUUGCAGUUAAAAGCUCGUAGUUGAAUUUCGAGAUCGGCUUACUGGUCGUGCUUUUGUACGUACUGGUAAAUCGGUUUCUCCUUUCUGACGAACUUUAAUGCCAUUAAUUUGGUGUUUUAGGGAAUCAGGACUGUUACUUUGAAAAAAUUAGAGUGUUUAAAGCAGGCUCACGCUUGAAUACAUUAGCAUGGAAUAACGGAAUAGGACGUUUGAUUCUAUUUUGUUGGUUUCUAGGAUCGACGUAAUGAUUAAUAGGGAUAGUUGGGGGCAUUAGUAUUCAAUUGUCAGAGGUGAAAUUCUUGGAUUUAUUGAAGACUAACUACUGCGAAAGCAUUUGCCAAGGAUGUUUUCAUUAAUCAAUGAACGAAAGUUAGGGGAUCGAAGACGAAUCAGGAUACCGUCGUAGUCUUAACCAUAAACUAUGCCGACUAGGGAUCGGAUGAUGUUAAUUUUUUCAAUGACUCAUUCGGCGCCUU